rnacentral:lncRNA from 1 species
UCUGCUUGGAUGGGUUUUAAAGCACUCCAACUUGAUGAAAGACCAAAUCCUGGACUUGGUGCUAAGCUUGCUCUUUGCCGGCCAUGAAACUUCCUCGGUGUCCAUAGCAUUGGCAAUUUAUUUCUUGCAAGCCUCUCCUACUGCUGUUCAUCAAUUAAGGGUACAUAAUAAUAAUAAUCAGUUUUAUGAUAAUUUUUUCAACAGCUAGUCAACAUGUUGUAAUUGUGUUAUAAAUCCAGGAAGAACACACUGAAAUUGUUAGAGCCAAGAAGCAAUCAGGGGAGGUGGGAUUGAAAUGGGAUGACUACAAAAAAAUGGAAUUCACCCAAUGUGUAAGCUUUUUCUAUAUUACUCCAUUUAUCUUUUAAUUAAAUUACAAAUUUAACAUGCAUUGUUGAGGAAUUCUGUGUCAAGACAAGACCGAUCACAUGGACUUAAUCUUUGAAUUUGUCCAUUUUAUUAAUUUUAUUUUACCCUAAUGAUCAACGUUAAAGGCUCAACAAAUUUUACUAAUUAAUCAUUACUAUUUAUAAAGGUUAUAAGUGAAACUCUAAGGCUGGGCAAUGUGGUGAGGUUUCUCCAUAGAAAGGCUGUGAGAGAUGUUCGGUACAAAGGUAGACCAAUAUUGCAUUAAUAUAUAUAUAUAUAUAUAUAUAUACCAAAUUGACACUGCCCGGCCGCCCCGCCGGCAGUUUUUAUUUUGAUGGAGUAAUUAAUUAUGUACGUAUUUAUACAUGAAAAGGGUAUGACAUUCCAUGCGGGUGGAAAGUGCUGCCAGUGAUUGCAGCCGUGCAUUUGGAUCCUUCACUUUUUGACCAACCACAACUCUUUAAUCCUUGGAGAUGGCAGGUCGGUCGGUUCCCUUUUGUUUUUCGCUCAAUUUGGGCAUUCUUAGUGGAGUAGUAUAUACUACAACUAGAUCAUAGUGGAGCAUAUAUUAGAGUUAAAAAAAAGAGAGGGAAAUUAUAAAUUUUAGUAACAUAUAUGUUUUUGGUCGGUACUUACAGAAUACUAAUGGUGGAUCCACAUCCACAGCCUCAACAGCAGCAGGCAAUAUCUAUAUGCCAUUCGGGGGAGGACCACGACUCUGCGCAGGAUUGGAACUGGCAAAAUUGGAGAUGGCUAUUUUCAUCCACCAUUUAGUACUCAACUUCCAUUGGGAGUUAGCUG